AUUGAACGCUGGCGGCAUGCUUUACACAUGCAAGUCGAACGGUAACAGGGUGCUUGCACCGCUGACGAGUGGCGAACGGGUGAGUAAUGCGUCGGAACGUGCCGAGUAGUGGGGGAUAACGCAGCGAAAGUUGUGCUAAUACCGCAUACGUACUGAGGUAGAAAGUGGGGGACCUUCGGGCCUCACGCUAUUCGAGCGGCCGACGUCUGAUUAGCUAGUAGGUGAGGUAAAGGCUCACCUAGGCGACGAUCAGUAGCGGGUCUGAGAGGAUGAUCCGCCACACUGGGACUGAGACACGGCCCAGACUCCUACGGGAGGCAGCAGUGGGGAAUUUUGGACAAUGGGCGAAAGCCUGAUCCAGCCAUGCCGCGUGUCUGAAGAAGGCCUUCGGGUUGAAAAGGACUUUUGUCAGGGAGGAAAUCCCUGGCGUUAAUACCGCUGGGGGAUGACAGUACCUGAAGAAUAAGCACCGGCUAACUACGUGCCAGCAGCCGCCGUAAGAC
rnacentral:rRNA from 1 species